CAGCAUUCUGGAUCAGCUGCAGCUGUUUGAUUGCUGCAGCUGAUCCUGGACAUACUAUUAAGUCAAGUAGAACCAAUUCUCACCUGGUGAGACUGUUGGUUUUUGUUAAACCUUGAGUGCCAACUCUGCUCUCCUCCACAGAGUGAUGCUGGUCUCAUUUUGAUUGGAUGCUCUGAAGCCAUCUGGAUUUGUAGGAGCUAAAAACACAACAUGAAGAGAUAGUGAUGCUGGUCUCAUCUUGACUGGAUGCUCUGAAGUCAUCUCGAUAUUCAAGCUCUAAAAACACAAUGAGUCAGAGGUGAAUACACUUCCUUUAAGGUGACCUAUUGUACUUCUUUGAACAGAGUGAUGCUGGUCUCAUCUUGACUGGAUGCUCUGAAGCCAUCUGGAUUUGUAGGAGCUAAAAACACAACAUGAAGAGAGAGUGAUGCUGGUCUCAUCUUGACUGGAUGUUCUGAAGUCUUUGGCAUUUUCAAGCUCUAAAAACACAAUAAGUCAGAGGUGAUACACUUCCUUAAAGGUGACCUAUUGUACUUCUUUGAACUGAGUGAUGCUGGUCUCAUCUUGACUGGAUGCUCUGAAGCCAUCUGGAUUUGUCGGAGCUAAAAACACAACAUGAAGAGAGAAUGAUGCUGGUCUCAUCUUGACUGGAUGCUCUGAAGUUAUCUGGAUUUUCAAGCUCUAAAAACACAAUGAGUCAGAGGUGAUACACUUCCUUAAAGGUGACCUAUUGUACUUCCUUGAACAGAGUGAUGCUGGUCUCAUCUUGACUGGAUGCUCUGAAGCCAUCUGGAUUUUCAGGAUCUAAAGACACAAUGAGGAAAUAUUAAUCUCUCCCUUCACCAGUUACUUGUGCUCAACUGGAUCUCAACCCAAGAACCCGGAGUCCUGACAGAAACAUUUCCUAAACCAAGUAAAUGAAGAAGGGAUGGAGGUGGGUUGAAGCUCAGCUGGUGAGCAGAUGGAGCCGCAGAUGGAGGAGAGUAUUGAGGUGCGCUCCGAUGCUGAUAGGCUGUGGUAGAAGCACACGACGCAGCGAUUGGAUGAUGCAGUAACUUUACCUGGCACGUUACAUCCCAGGAUGCUGUUGUGAUGGUCACUUUUAUGCCUUUGGGAUGUGUGUGAGUGUGUGUGUGUGUGUGUGCGCGUGUGUGUGCGUGUGUGUUGGGGGUGCAUCGAGAUGGGGAUGUUUUUAGCAGUAAAUCAAAUAUUGUUUAUCUAUUUAUGUAUCAAUUCAUUCUAUGUGGAUGAAAAGGUUGAAACAAUAACUGAAAUAAAAACAUUACAAUAACUUUAUGGUAUCUGUCAAGGGCAUUAAAAACUCACUUUGUGU